UGAGGCUCAAAUCUAACCUGCCCUCUGCCAUCCACCAGAGUAGUCUCCCAGGUCCCCCUGGGCUUCUCUCCACCAGGCGGGAACCUGUACCAUGCUGAGUUCCUUUGCUGUCCUGUGUGUCCUCCUGUUUCCCGGUGGUGCAGCAGGGCUCAAGCUCGAGCAGACUCCUGUGGUCGUGGGGCGCUUGGGCACCUCGGCUACCCUGCCAUGCACAGUGGAUACCUCGGUGAGCUACAUCCACUGGUACUUCCACAAGGAGGAUACAGCCCCCAAGAGGCUCCUCUACCUAGACAUGUCCAGGUCGCUUGUGCAGAGGGAUAUAUUUGUGAAAGCGGACAAAGUCAACGCCAAGAAAGGCAAGAACAGUUACAGCUGUAACCUGUUGCUGCAGAAACUGGAGAAGAGUGAUGAGGGCGUGUACUACUGCGCUGCCUGGGAAGCAUGGCACUAUAGCUGGAGCAACAAAGUGUUUGGUCCUGGCACAAUUCUCAGGGUUACAGAUAAAAGUCCUGAAGACAUUUCCCCCAAGCCCACAAUUUUUCUUCCUUCAAUUGCUGAAAUAAAAGUCCAUCAGGUUGGAACAUAUAUUUGUCUUCUUGAGGAUAUUAUUCCUGAUAUUUUUAAGAUAGAUUGGAAAGAAAAGAAUGGCAAAACAAUUCUGCAAUCCCAGCAGGGAAACACCAUGAAGACUAAGGACACAUACAUGAAAUUCAGCUGGCUAACCGUGACUGAAAAAUCAAUGGAUAAAGAACACCAAUGCAUUGUCAAAGAUGAGAGGAAUAAAGAAAGGGUUAAACAAGAGAUUGAUUUUCCUUCAAUAAACAAAGAUUUGGUGGCAAGGAUGGAAUCCGAUAUGGACCCUGCGGGGCAUUCAGAGGCAAAGCAAAACACAGAGGUGGUAACUUUGAACCCUUCCAGUUCAAGAUCUUUCAGGCCUGUCCCAAGCACUGUGGAAUUUGCUGCUAUUAACUCUACAGAAGCUUCCCUGAAUGAUGAAAAUGACCCCCUGCAGCUUCAACUCAUGAACACCUCUGCCUACUACACCUACCUCCUCCUCCUCCUGAAGAGCCUGAUGUACUCCAUCAUCAUCGCCAUCUGUCUGCUUGGGAGACCAGCGCUCGAUGGCAACGGGAAGAGUUCCUAA